CUCUGGUGAGCAGGAUGACCGCCCUCCCGUGGUUGCUGAUUCCCUGUACCAGGCACUUGGUAUUCCUCCCACGUUCUUUGCGACAGGGACUUCUCUGGAGUAGGCAAGGCUAAGUGCAAGGGCAGUGCUCCAGGACGAAGGGGGGUGCGGAUGGUGUCACUGCUGUGAAGUCCGUACCGGAGCGUGGAGCUAGCGUUGGCCACCAUCGUCGCCUUGUGCUGCAGGUUCAUUCACAACCACAGAAGAAGCCUCGCUUCGUGGAAAGGCCAUCUAAUUGGAGAAAAAACGUAUUCACUUUCAUGAUUUCAUGUUGAAUGUACAUAGUCGUCUUCAAUUAAUUUGUUUAUAUGUGCAAACUGCCUUCAGAAGUACCCUGUUCCAAGCUUCGGCCUUCAGUAAGAUAUGAUAAUUGUUGUCAUGGCUGACACUCUUGUCGAUAUACAGAUGCACAAAGGUGUUUCAGAUCCCCUUGAUGUUGUAGCAGCUGAGAUUUCAUAUGAGGCCAUCAUAUUAUGUCUUGAUGAGUUUAUGGUAUAAUUUUCUGAGGUUAAAUAUUCCACCAGUGUUCUAAUACAUAUGUUUGUAACAAGCCCUACUCUACUGCACAGGUAACUGAUAUUGCUGAUGCUAUGAUUCUGAAUCGUCUGUUCAGACAAUUGUUCAGCAAAGGCGUUGUAUGUGGCUACUAUUUUCUUCCAUUUUCUUAUGGGACUAAACCACUCAGGUUAUCUAUACAAUGCAUCAACUUUUGACAUGGAUUUAUUUGCAUGUUUUGUGCUCAGAUUCUUGUUUUGACUUCUAACUGUGCUCCAGAUAAGCUUUAUGAAGGUGGCUUACAACGAGACCUUUUCUUGCCAUUUAUUGACACCUUGAAAAGCUGAAAUUCGAAUUCAGUUUCGCCAUGCCCCUAGUAAUAUCUACCGUGAACGCUUUGGCCAUGACAUAGAUCUCGACACAAACGAGCUGGUUCUACGCGAUCAACCUGAAUAAGCAAUCCUAUUGAAAGUCAACAACAAGGUCCCAGGGCUUGGGCUCCAAUUGGAUGCUUCAGAACUGAACCUGCUUUACCGGGAUAGAUACAACACCGAGGUACCAGAUUCGUAUGAACAUCUUCUACUGGAUGUGCUAGAUGGAGAUAGUCAUUUAUUCAUGCGCAGCGACGAGCUGGUUGCCGCAUGGAACGUGCUGACUCCGAUAAUCCAUGAGAUCGAUCAGAACGGAGUAGUUCCUGAGCUCUAUGAGGCUGGGGACAGAGGGUCUAUCAAUGCUUACCA